AGAGAUGCACUGGGUUUAAAGCGUGCGCAGGCGGUUUUGUAAGACAGAGGUGAAAUCCCCGGGCCCAACCUGGGAACUGCCUUUGUGACUGCAAGGCUGGAGUGCGGCAGAGGGGGAUGGAAUUCCGCGUGUAGCAGUGAAAUGCGUAGAUAUGCGGAGGAACACCGAUGGCGAAGGCAAUCCCCUGGGCCUGCACUGACGCUCAUGCACGAAAGCGUGGGGAGCAAACA
rnacentral:rRNA from 1 species